AUUGAACGCUGGCGGCAGGCCUAACACAUGCAAGUCGAGCGGAUGAAGGGAGCUUGCUCCUGGAUUCAGCGGGGGACGGGUGAGUAAUGGCUAAGAAUAUGCCUGGUAGUGGGGGAUAGCGUCCGGACACGGGCGCAAAUACCGCAUACCUCCUGAGGAAGAAAGGGGGGGAUCUUCGGACCUCCCGCUAUCAGAUGAGCCGAGGUCGGAUUAGCUAGUUGGUGGGGUAAAGGCCUACCAAGGCGACGAUCCGUAGCUGGUCUGAGAGGAUGAUCAGUCACACUGGAACUGAGACACGGUCCAGACUCCUACGGGAGGCAGCAGUGGGGAAUAUUGGACAAUGGGCGCAAGCCUGAUCCAGCCAUGCCGCGUGUGUGAAGAAGGUCUUCGGAUUGUAAAGCACUUUAAGUUGGGAGGAAGGGCAGUAAGUUAAUACCUCGCUGUUUUGACGUUACCAACAGAAUAAGCACCGGCUAACUUCGUG
rnacentral:rRNA from 1 species